rnacentral:rRNA from 1 species
UGCCAGCCGCCGCGGUAAUACGGAGGGGGCUAGCGUUGUUCGGAUUUACUGGGCGUAAAGCGCGCGUAGGCGGUUUAGAUAGUCAGGCGUGAAAGCCCCGGGCUCAACCUGGGAACUGCGUUUGAUACUACUAAGCUAGAGUCCGGGAGAGGGUAGUGGAAUUCCCAGUGUAGAGGUGAAAUUCGUAGAUAUUGGGAAGAACACCAGUGGCGAAGGCGGCUACCUGGACCGGUACUGACGCUGAGGUGCGAAAGCGUGGGGAGCAAACAGGAUUAGAUA